CCCCUUCCCCUGUCUCUCUCUCUUCCAUUUUCGUGGAGCCCUAGCGCCGCCUUUGAUUUCUCAUCGUCUCUCUCCGCCAAAAAUGGCAAGAUCGCAAAGCCUAGCUGAUGAAUACAACUGUUAUAUGCUUAUUACGGUGAAAGCGUUAAAUGUCAUGUUCUUUUUACCCGAAUAUGGUAAUAAACCUUUGUUUUACUCAUUUUUUAGAUUUUUCAGUCAAAACUCAUGAUUUUCUUUUGCUUUUAAUUUAUUUUGUUUAUUAUUUCUCACAUUUUCCUAUUGCUUUAGGGUUGUUGGUACAAAUCGACCCAAGGAGGGUCAGGUCUGACCACAUGUGUUGCUACAUCAUUAGAUCUGGGACGUUGAUUUUGUUUACUGAACAUUGGGUUUUGGAAAAGGGUUUAUCCCACAUCGUUCAUUGUUGGUCUUGGUUGAACUUUUGAGGUUCUAUAAAUAGAAUCCCACUCUCACAAAAAUAGAGGUGGGAAAACAAGGAAAAAAAUAGUAGAUAGAGAAAUAGAGGAAAAUUUGAAAGUGGAAGAAGUUGAAAAUUUUAACUUUUUAAAAACUCCUUAGUAAAGAAUUUUAAUGCCCCGACUGAAAAUAAUUGGGGUUUUCUUGGUUCUAAAAUAGUUUCUUACUUCAUUUUAUUUUUCGUGUGGCUGAGUUAUUGAGGUUGGAAGCACAAAGCUCCCAAGUUCAUUCUUUUCUUGGCUUCACACACAAAAGGUAUUAAGUGUUGUGAUGAAAAAAGUGGAGAAAGUUGUGAAAACGCGGAAAGAAGUGGAUAAAUUAACAGGUAACUGAAAAAGGCAGUUUGACAGACCGCAGAAAUUUCUGCGGAACGUCAAACUUAAUGCAGACGUGUCACAAGAAGCAGUUCACUGAAGAGAAAUCCUGCGGAUCAGUUCUACGGACCGCAAAACAUUUGACGGUCUGUCAAAGUGGUAGCGUAGAAAGUUGCAGAAAAUUGUUUGACGGUUGAAGGGCAGAAAUUUGACGGAGCGCAGAAUAUUUGACGGUCCACAGAAUGAGCCCGAUGGGCAAUUUUGUCUUUUUACUUCUCAUGACUUAGACUCUUAUAAAUACCUGAUAUAGGUCUCUUGUAGGCUACAAUUCACCAGAUUUUCAGUUUUAUUUCCUUAGCAUUGCAUACUAAUAGAUUUUGAAGUCUUUUUGGGGAUUACAAACAAUUGCAAUUAUCUUCUCUUCA